UAUAGAGGUCUCAAGCGUUGUUCGGAUUCAUUGGGCGUAAAGGGUGCGUAGGUGGUGAUGCAAGUCUGGUGUGAAAUCUCGGAGCUCAACUCCGAAAUUGCACCGGAUACUGCGUGACUCGAGGACUGUAGAGGAGAUCGGAAUUCACGGUGUAGCAGUGAAAUGCGUAGAUAUCGUGAGGAAGACCAGUUGCGAAGGCGGAUCUCUGGGCAGUGCCUGACACUGAGGCACGAAGGCCAGGGGAGCAAACGGG
rnacentral:rRNA from 1 species